rnacentral:sRNA from 1 species
CUUGGUCAUUUAGAGGAAGUAAAAGUCGUAACAAGGUCUCCGUUGGUGAACCAGCGGAGGGAUCAUUAUCGAGUUACAGAACUCCCAAACCUUUGUGAACAUACCAUCGUUGCUUCGGCGGGGACACCCGCCCCAGGACGCCCCGGCGCCCUGGGGAACCCGCCGGGGGACCCAAACUCUUGUUUCAUUUUGGAUACUCUGAGUAUUAUACAAAUAAGCAAUCAAAACUUUCAGCAACGGAUCUCUUGGCUCUGGCAUCGAUGAAGAACGCAGCGAAAUGCGAUAAGUAAUGUGAAUUGCAGAAUUCAGUGAAUCAUCGAAUCUUUGAACGCACAUUGUGCCCGCCAGCACUCUGGCGGGCAUGCCUGUCCGAGCGUCAUUUCAACCCUCAGGACCCCUUCGGGGGUGCCUGGCGUUGGGGAUCGGCCCGCCUCCGCGCGGGCCGGCCCCGAAUCCCAGUGGCGGCCCCACAGCGAGCUCCCCUGCGCAGUAGCGAUACCUCGCAGCCGGACGAGCGUGGCGGCCACGCCGUAAAACACCCCACUUCUUCAAGGUUGACCUCGGAUCAGGUAGGAAUACCCGCUGAACUUAAGCAUAUCAAUAAGCGGAGGAAAAGAAACCAACAGGGAUUGCCUCAGUAACGGCGAGUGAAGCGGCAACAGCUCAAAUUUGAAAUCUGGCCCCCCGGCCCGAGUUGUAAUUUGCAGAGGAUGCUUCUGGCGACGCGCCUUCCGAGUUCCCUGGAACGGGACGCCACAGAGGGUGAGAGCCCCGUCCGGUCGUGCGCCUAGCCUGUGUGAAGCUCCUUCGACGAGUCGAGUUGUUUGGGAAU